rnacentral:rRNA from 1 species
GUCGGCAACCAUACAAUCCUGGAAACGCCGGUUCACGUCCGAUAACCAAAGCUACGAAACAUUGGGCCUGGCCAGUACUUGCAUGUUUGACCGACUGGCAAGACAGGAUGUCGCCAGCU